rnacentral:rRNA from 1 species
AGAGUUUGAUCAUGGCUCAGAAUGAACGUUGGCGGCGUGGAUUAGGCAUGCAAGUCGUACGGGCCGCAAGGCCAGUGGCGCAAGGGUGAGUAAUGCGACGGUAACCAACCCCAUGGGUGGGUAUAGCCGCGGGAAACUGCGGGUAAUCCCCAGCGAUACACGCGACCGGCAUCGGUUGUGUGUCAAAGCUCCGGCGCGUG